GCCCGCGUAGCUCAGUGGAUAGAGCACUUGCCUCCGGAGCAAGGUGUCACAGGUUCGAAUCCUGUCGCGGGUACCU
rnacentral:tRNA from 2 species